UGCGGCGACGAUUGACGCCCAGCGCGCACCGGUGACUUCACCGGGGGCCUCGGCGGAGACGCAGUUCGACUGACCCCAGAGGGCACAAUGGUGCAACGCGCUCGAGUAGUGGAGAAGCAGUUGAGGGCGACGGUGAGGAACCGGUCCCUUGGAUAAGCUUAACUGUCCAGUAAGAUCCAACAGUGUGCCUUUGUGACCCCGGAGCCGGUGUGGCUUGGUGACACUGAAGAAGCCGCAGGCAGCUGACCUGGACUGGAAUCUCUGAAAGAGAUGCUGCAGAAGAUUCCAGGGUGCAAGAGAACAGCCCUCCAAAGAGCAGAAGCAUGUUAGAAAUUCUGGACAAGCUGUAUACAGGAUAAUCUCCAGUCCACCUCUCCCCCCUUCUCUGAACAUUAUACACAGAAGUGGCCAGUCUGGACGUACGUGUGUGGAUAAUCAGAGAAAACUGAUGCCAGCUGAACAGCAUUCAACGUACCAUGCAUUUACUGGCACAAUAGGAAUCAUGUUUUGUGUUCUAUGUUCUGUCCUGUGGUGUUUGUCUUGUGGCCGGAAUUUUUGUGUUUAAUAUUUUUAUAAAAUAGUCUAGUUUAAAAUCAAACAAAAAGAUUAAAUUAAAAUGCAGAUAUUUGUUUUGUUCAACUUGGAAUACAAAGUGUUUGGAUAAAUCAGGAGAAUGUAAUAUACUAAAGUCUAAUGCAUUUCCUUAAGUAAAGAAAAGAAAUUUCAUUGGCCAAACUGUUAAUUGCAAAAAUUGUUGUUAAAAUUUGCAUACCAACAGUCUUUGAAAGCAAAGACAUGAAAAGUUAACCCACUCCCCAUAUUGUACAUGGGAUCUUUUUGGCUACCUCAGAUUUCUAGCCAGAGGGCUGGGGAUGGUGAAAGGCUAUUGGACUAGAGGUUGUAUUGAGUGAACUCCUCAAAGUGGGUGUGCUUGUCCUGGCUUGUUGCUCCAAAGCUCUGUAAUAAGGUUAUUUUAGCAAAAGGGUGUGUGUGGCAUAUAUUAAAUAAUAAGACUAAUGUACUGUAUAAUGACAAUGUUUAUGUCUUCAUUGUUGGGAAGAAGGUGUAUAAGUAAAAAGUGGAAGUUUCCUUUGCAGGUUAAAAGAAGCCAAGAAGGGAAGAAGGACAAAGAACAGAAUGAAUUAACUGAAAAAAAAUAAAAUAAAA